GAACGUUAAACCUCAAAUCAUGUUCAAUGAGAGAUAAUUUAUUUCAACGGUUUCAACGGUAGAUGUAGUACGGUAGCAUAGAUGUAACGAGAUACAAAAAGCUCGUUUGCGAGAUUGACUACGUCGUGCUUCCUACGCCCGGAGCAAAUCAUGCGGCCGCGAUAAAAUGUUCGGAUAUAUUCGCGAAAAUGGUGGACAAUCCUCGUGCCUCUAAUCAGUGAUCAGUUCCCACGGGCGAUUCAAGCGCGACGAAAAAUCGUCAUUCCAUACCUGGCACAGGGCUCAAUCUGAAGACAAACGUGCAUAAUUGGUGUACGAUAAACUCCAUAUUGAUGAUGCAACAUUAAGACCCAGUUCCCGAAUCACCGUCUGGACGCUCCGAGACCAAGAAUCAUAAUGCAAGUAGGCAAACCAGUAACAGAGCGUCUCGCCGACAACAAGUCCCGAGCUAGGAUCAGCAACGAAAACCGCUAAAAUUUCUUGUUUGGAACGUUCAAGGAUUAUGUUCUAAACUAUAUGACCCUGAUUUUUCCCACAACAUCAAUGACGUUCACUUUGUUUUUCUCUGUAAAACAGGGCAUUCCUAUGGUGGUUAUAAAACAAUUGAGGGUUUUGAACACUUUGUUUAUUUCAAUGUAACUUUCUAAACGAGAAUAGUGACUUAUUGGAAAAUUCUAAUUUGAACCAUUAUGAAAACUUGCCCGCCGAUGAUGUAUAUUACAAUUCGCAAAUCGCAUGAUGUUUUUACAAACCGUUUUAUGGUUCGAUUUUUAACUUUAUGCAAAGAAUGCUGUGUAUAACCUUAAGAAUUAAUCUUAUUAUAUUAGUGUGACUUUGCCAAUUAAAUAAGUGUUUAGUUGACAUUGAAUUAUGCACUUCUGUUAAAUCAUCAUUAUGGUAAAUGGGUUGAGAAUAGUAAAGUAUUAUAACUAGGGGUCAUCCAAGUCAAAAGCCAAUGCACAUGUGAAGUAUCAAGCCAAUAUAUCGAUUCGUCGACGAGUAAUCGAUCGGAAAUGACUGUCACACUUAUUGUGACAGUAACCUUGACCGUUGUCCUAGUGACUCUAAUUUCAAUAGCGGUAAACUACUGUCAAAGACAAAUGCACAUUUGAAGUAUCAAGCCAAUCGGUCGAUUCGUUAACGAGUUAUUGAUUGGAAACGAUUUUAGCACUUAUUGUGACAGUGACCUUGACCUUUGACCGAAUGACGUAAUUUUUAAUAGGAGUCAUAUUAUGACCCAGGCCAAAACACAUGGGAAGGAUCAGCCAAUUGAUAAAUUCGUUGACGUGUUAUUGAGCGGAAACGAUUUGCACACUUAUUGUGACCGUGACCUAAACCUUUGACCCCGAUAUAUUGUGGGGUAAUCUACUGUCCUAGGCUUCAAGUAGCAAGCCAAUCGGUCAUUCCGUUGACAAGUUAUUGAUCAGAAGCAUUCAUACUUAUUGUGACAGUGACUUUGACCUAGUGACCCUAGUUUCAAGAUGGGGUCAUCUACCGUCCAUGGCCAAGUAUCAAGUUAAUCGGUCAAUUCGUUUGCGAGUUAUUGAUUGAAAACGAACUGGUCUAAUGACAGACAGAUCGACCGAAAGAUCGACCGACCGACAUACAGCAAAACAAUAUAUCCCCUAUUCAACGAGAGGGCAUACAUAUGAACCUACCAAUUGGAAUACAUCGAGAGGUAAUCAUGCUACCUUAUUCAACAUAUUAGAAAACGAAUCUUACAACUUUGACCUACUGCACCGUCGUUGGCUUACGGUUUAUUUGAUUUGGAUUCGUGCAUUAACAACCUGUGGUCUCUUCUCUAUCAAAUAUCAUUUCGGGUCCACGGGAAACGACGCUGUAGUGCGAGUUCAAAUACACAUGUAAUAAAAUCGAAAAAAUGAUACAAAAGUAUAUAAUGUUUUUAGAAGUUAAGCGGUCAUGCUAUGUUUGUAAGUGAAAAGCUAAAUACACUUACAAUGUCAUAGAGCAACAUCGAGUUAAAUUCGAUUCUUGAAAAUUGUGUAAAGAUAUAAAGAAGUGUAAAGGCGGUAAUACAAAUCAUAAUGAUAUAAAUGUAAAUAAUUUCUUAAAUCACUUUAAUUAAUGUCACGAAAUUAAAGCGCGGAUUUGGACGGUAACGUUGCGAACUUUGUCAUUAAUUGUAAUGAAUUUAUUGCUUCAUAUCUGUUUAAUAUCUUUAAUUAUUAAUUCGAAAACACCGUAUAUCCGGUGUCUUGGACUAAAUGCUCAUUUGCCACAUUAUUCAAAAAGGUGAUAAAUCGAAAUCGGCCAUUAUAGAGGGAUAAUUCUUGUUAAUAGUCAACUAAAAUUUUCUUUAACACUGCAAAUUCAUCUUAUAAGCGAUGCGAGGAUUACUCUGUUAUUAAUGAAUGUCAAUUAGGUUUUAUAAAUAAUCGUAGCAAGUCUUAUUGUAUAUUCAUUUUGCAUAGUAUCAUUUAGAAGGAUUUAGCAAAUAAUUUCAAACUAGCUUGUGCCUUUGUAGACGAUACUGCAAUCAUGAUCUCCUUUGGAUUAACAUACAUCAGCUGCAAAAUGCUUAAUAUGCUGAACUCCAUGUAUGAAAAUGAAAAAUCUUGCAUACAACGUACAAGUAAAACGUCAUAUUCAGAAUUGUUUGAUGAAUCUUUAAGGGUUAAACAUGGUGAACGAUUGUCACCACUUAAGUGUAUUCUGUUUAUCAACGAUAUUGGUGAACAUUUGAAAAGAACGAGUCCUAAACUAUUGGUGUAUUAUUAUGCAGUCACAUAAUACUUUGAUAAAUAAACUUUUGAUUAUAAUUGUUUUAAUUUUUACAACAAAAUAUUUUGGCCAAAUGCUGUCAAAACAACACUUGAUUCACUUGGUUUUAAUAAUUUGUGGUUGCGCCAGAAUAACGAAAUUAGUUGCAUUUAUAUGCUAUUACAAAGAGUCCUAGACGUUUACAAUCAAACUCGGUUUGAAUGUUCACGGUCUCAAAGUAAGCUUUCAUAUGAUAUCACAUUUAAAAGGAUUUUUUAAACAUGCUUCAAUUAAAUUGAUAUUGAAAAGGAUUGAGUAGAUUUCGAUUGUGUUCGCAUCACUUAGAAAUAGAAAGAAGCAAAUUUAAUAAUAUUAACGUCACUGAUCAAAAGUAUAAAGUGUGUACUACUGGAAUGAUGAAAUCUGAAUUUUAUUUUAUAUGUAUGUGUGAAAUUAAUAAAGAUCUGAGAUCCAAAUACAAAAUAAUGCUGUCAUUAAAUACCUUGAAUUAUUAAAAAAAAUAUAUUGCAUCAAAGGCUGUAAAACUCAUCCAUAAAGUAUCGAUUUAUCUAUUUUGCAAUGUUAAAGCGACAAGAAGUCAUUGAUUCUUGUGUUGAUUCCUAGUUGUUUAAAAUUAUUUCGCAUAAUAUACCAUAGUUUUUUAUAUUAUUUCUUGUAUAUUUUGCUGUUUUUGUUUGAUUAUAUUUGUGUCAUCUAUUAACAAUAGUUGUAUUCUAUGACCUACUUUCUUACACUUAUUGUAUAAUAAUUCUAAUUGCAUACAGCAUUUUUGAUAUAGCCAAACUUCAUCUCAAUGCGUAUAUGCAUUUAUAAUAUGAUUACAUGUUGCCCAAAGAAUGUUUUGCUUAUUAUGCAAAUAAAUAAAUAAACUGUUCAUAAAAAAUUAUAUAUAUAUGAAGUUCCCAUUGGGUACAUCUUUGUACCAAGGAUGUUAAUUUGUAUUAUCUGUUUUGGUUAAAUCAUAUUUAGGUGUAUAUUAUUGGGUUACUGUAAAUUUGAACUUUGUUGCGCUUUUAACUGCAUUUAUGUUGAGGACACACGCGACGCAAUUUAAAAUUAAAUUAUAUACGUU